GGAAGUCUUUCUUUACAAAGACUCAAAGCCGUCACUGAAAACUAGAUUAAAACUGGAAAACAAGUCCUAGCUGGUGCAAGCCAAACACCUACGUUGACCCGGUGCUAUUUUCUAUGGUGGUUGGGAUGGCUGGUGAGCUAUUUUGCCUUUUGUUUGAUUUGACCGUGUUUUCGCCUUUUGUUUCUUAAUGAUCACACCAUUGCUAAAUCCAGAGCAGUAAACAGUCCACAGCGAAGCCGCCUUUUUGCCAGCCCAACCCUGGAAAGUUUGCAGUCGUGGAAGGAGCAGAAAAUACUGAGUGUAACUUACAAAAAGACUCCAUGGCACCGGGCUGAGCGGGCGAAGGGAGCAUCUCCCCAGUACCCUGGAACAUCCAUGGAGCUGUCUGCGAUAGUCCCUUUGGCUCGCCUCGGGUCUGAACCUUGGUGGCAGAGAAGAAAUUGAAGUGCUUUGGAGAUGGAGGGGCUGAAAGAGCGAGGAAACCAUCCCACCCAUCCUAAGGUUUCGUUCCCAUUUGAUUGUGCGGUUUCUGCACCCUUAAAUCAGCUUUUCGGGGCUCCGGGGCUCGCCUGCUCUUCCAAAGAGAAAAAGGACAAAAGGCCGGCGUCCAUGUUGGCACCAUGACGCAGCAUCUCUCCCGCCUGCAGCCGGGCGCUGCCUGUCCUCCCGGCCGCGCUCGCUCCUCCCUCCCAAACAUGAGUUUUAUUUUCAGGUUUUGAGCCGAGCCGCAGGCUGGGUCGGGUUGGGGCCAAGGCUGGGGCCGCCCGGCUGCUCAAGGCUGCGGUGGCUAAUGGCGGCCGGCUCUCCUCCUUCCUUCCGCCAUUGUCUUUCCCCGGUUGUCGCUGGGAGGCAGUCCCGGGUCCUAAGAGCCUGCAAGGCAAGGCACCCGGGAUGCUGGUGACGGGUCUCUGGGGGCCUUGGGCCUCCGGGGCGUCGCGUACCACAGUUCCAGCACUCGCCCACCCACCCCAUCCCCGCCCGCCUGCCUGCCUCCGGGUGAGGCGGCCGCGGGAGGAGCCGGAGCAGGGCAGGGCGAGCCGCUGGAGGCGGGUUGAGGACCCUGAUCUCCGCUGAAGCCCCGGACUCCAUGGCCCAGGAGGGCACGAGGCCUCGCUCUGGCUGCUGUCCCUGCUGUUCUGCCUCGAAACAGAAGCCAAGUAGCCAAGGGCUAAGAGGCUGGCCCAAGCCUCCCUUCACUGCCCACUCGGCUUCAGGAGACCCACCCCUGCCUCCCCCAGUCGUUCUUUGAUAGCCGAGCCGGAGGGGCGGGUCUCCCCUUUUGUCCCCCCACUUUGGGAUAGAGGCCCUUGCGGUGCCUGAGUCCCUUUACUUGGUCGCCAGGGGCUCAGCCUCCAACCCAGCUCUGCGGGUUGGAGGUGUGUGUGUGUUGGAGGAGGGGGGCGGUUGGGGCCUGGGAAAGCCGAUUGGGGCCUCCCCCUCGGGAACCCCCCCCUCCCGUGACAGUGCCCGAGGGUGAAGCCUUAGAUCUCAGCCUUCCUGGGGGAGGGGAUGCGGACAGGGCGGGCCUUUGGAAAUGCAGAUGAGCCGUCUCCUGCUGCUCGUCGCCCGGGCUGAACCUUAGUGACUCAGCCACCCCCACCCCACCCCCACCCAUUCCAGAGUGAGGGCUGCCUUGUCAGCUGGAAAGGGGGGGGCAGCACUUCUGAGGCUCCCUUUCUAUCUAGUAGACCCUGUUGGUUUGCGUUUGGCCGAUCCAUUCUCUGACCUACAAACUGUGGGACUGCCCUAACAGAUCGUCCGAAUUCACAGGUCUUGCCCGGAGCCCGGAGUAAUGUCUCGGUUCUCCCCACAGUAGACAAUCCUUGCCUCCUCUGGACCUCUGGAACAGGCCUAAUUUGACUGACAGCUUGCCCACUAAGCCAGCCAGCCUCCCUGGCUCUGGACCAAGCCCGAAGAAACCUGGAAUCCUUGCAAAGCAUCCUCAAAGGGCCACUAAUAUAGCCGCAGCCCUUCCUCCCUUGCCUGGUUUUGACAGGAAUCAUCUAUUGACCCUUUGUAGCCAGCCCUCCUUCCCCUCUAACCAACAGUCAGGCCCUCCCUGAUAUAACUGUUACCUUGACAACCCCUUGGGCCUGUUUCCCCCUCACCACUGAAACCUGAAGAGGGUUUUCAAGCUACAGUACAUGUGCCCAAGUUGGGCACCGCUUCUGCUUCCAUUGGCACAUCUUCUGCCCAACUGUACCCAAUAUAACAAACACAGCCUUCCCUGGUCCCUUAGCUGAUCUCACUGGUGCUGGGAACUCCUGUCAAACUGCUUCCUCCAGACUGUGCCUCCCCCACAGGCAGGAACAUGGUUUCU